rnacentral:lncRNA from 1 species
UAUUUUUGGAUUUUCUCGAAAUCCGUGCGUCGAACACAAAAUCCGUCAGCGUCAUUAGUUCCAGAACAGCUGACCCGGUCGAAACGAGCUAUUGGACUGCUAUGAACAGAGUCCGGUACGAGCCAGAAGCCAACUUCUCACCGCGGCUUCUCCGGAAAAUCGAGUUACUAUUCACUUUAAGUGAAACUUGGAAAUCGCGUAGAAUUUCCGUUUUAACUCGAUUUCGCCCGAAACUUGACGAGUGCUUUUGUAAUUAAAUUACACACAAAAACAUCGUCAACUGAGAGUUUAACUACACUGCAAAAAAUCUCAGUCCCUACAAAUAUUGAAAAUAUUCUUUCUACGUUCCAAUCUAUUUCUAAUAUACCCCUAGAGUUAAAAUUUGUUAGUUAACUCUGUCAUCUCUGUAAAAUUAUUAUUUUGUCCUUUCAAAUAUAUCCUUCCACCAUCACUGAUUUUCUUAUUUGCCCUUAAAGUCAGGGGCACAAAAAGUAUUUUGAUUUUUAGUCUUUUCCAAUAUACCCCUCUACCGUCACCAACAUUUCUUAUUUGCCCUUAAAUUAAGAGCAAAAUUGGUGUUUUAAUUUUUUUUAACUGUGGUAGAUAUUUAACUCAUGUUUAACUCAAGUUAACUUAACUGAAGAUAACUGCGGGGUAUUUUAUAAUAACGGUGGAACAUAUAAGAGGUAUUUUAGAAAGAAAAAAAAGGGGAUAAAUCGGAUAUUUUUAAACAUACGAGGGUAUAUAGACAAUUAUCCCUAAAAAAAAAUAAUAAAUUUCUCUUGGAUGACGUCAGAUCCCACCAACUGCUGACGUAUGAGAAUGUAGGAACGUGGCUUCGCUGUGUUGUCCCCAACAUAAUUUAUUUUUCCAUAUACUAUGUAUAUGUACAUUGGACUAUUCUAGUCUUCUUGGAAAAGUCAACGUUGACUUUCCUAUGAUCAAAUAAACUGGAUAAAUAUUGUAGGGUAAACUCCAAAUACCAGCAAGUGAUUUCACACUUUUUCACUUUGUUACCUGUGGGUGAUUUCACACUUUUUUUACUUUGGUACCUGUGAUUUAAAAUGUAUCUGAUUUUAUUUUUCUUUUUUCGUCAACCUCUCCAUUAACCUUUCGUUAAAUCAUAUACAAAAAAUUUCAGAUAAUCUAUCUAUAGUUUAUCGAAUAUUCACUUUAGUACUCUUUAGUUUUAACUUUGUCGCUGAUUUAACGAAAAAAUUAGCGAAAAAGAUAACAAAAAAAAAUCACAUAAUAUGAAAGUAAUACACUAUAAAUCAUAAAAGUGAAAAAGUGUGAACUAUAAGAGUGAUAUUUGAAGUUUUCCAAUAUUAUAUUUGUCUUAAAAUUAUUUUUAUUAGAAUAAGAUAUAUUAUCUUACAGAUAAAAUAUUCUGUUAUAUCAAAUCAUAGAAAUCAAGAUCUAUUAACGGGUAAAAUUAAAUUCUUAUUUUCAACUAUUCAAGAAAUUAAAUUGCUAUAUCAAAUAAUUUAUUAUCGAAUAUUUUAUGGAUAAAAUAUAGAUUUUUUUUUCAAAAUUUUUAGUUAAUGUAUUUAAUACUCCUUUGUCAGGAUUCCAUCACAGUUUUAUUUAUUUCUUAAAACUUACAUCGAAAAUCCUCUAAAAAAUAAUAAAAAUACAUUAAAAAAAUUUCCUUAUAAAAUAAGUAAAAGACAAUUUGAUCUAGAUUAGCCAUAUUUUAUUAAUAUCGUAACUCUCUGAAAAUAUUUCUAAAAUUUUAAGAAGAUAAAAUAUAAAUUUCAGAAGUUAGAAAGAAAAAAUAAAAAAA